rnacentral:lncRNA from 1 species
UCCCCAUUCCAAAGAGAUCAGAGUAUCCACAUGGAGAAGAUUUCUUUUAUUUAAACCAGGAGAAUAUUAGGGUGGAGUGAUCAAAAAAGGAAGUUUAAUGAUUAAAAUGGCUAAAUUUUGGCAUGCAACACAAUACCCACUCACAUUUACUCUAAAUACCUACUGUUCUUUCUACUUCCCUAAUUCGUAAAGUUAUUCUGCUCUGUCUCUUCAAGUUACAAAGGACUUUUUUCCCAGUAAAGAGAGGUUUCUCAAGUCUUCUCUGUAGCAUUGAGAUUGCUGUUCAUGCUUCUCCAACCAUCCCACAUCUAUAGCUGGUAAUAAUAGUUUUCCUUUUUUAUUUGAAUAAUACUUCCUUGUAAGAAGAUAGCAUCAUUUGGGAGAUUCAGACCUACAGUUGCUUUAAAAAAUGAGCUUGAAUUUUCAACACUGGAGAGUCAAGCUUUGCAUAAAACUUGCCUUCUGUGUAAAGUAUUUUUCUUUUUUCUUUUCUUCUCAUUUUGGUGGUAUAGUAAAUGUACUAGUGAUUUAAAAUUGUGCCAAAUCAAACAACAAAGUCCCUGACCUGAACAAUAUGUGGUGUAAAGAGCAUGAAUGUUGCAAGACAAAUGUCAGGAACAACACAAAGUAAGCAGGAAAAAGUGCAAGUGAAAUUAUGGAGGACUAAGGAAGAUUUUUUUUUAAUUGUUUUUAACAGGACAAGAUCACAUAAGCAAACUAGGGUUCCCUAUUUCAAGAGCAUAACAAAAAUAUAUCAAUGGAAGAAUUAUUGUAAUUAGGAGAAAGAUCAAUCAAUAAACAUUUAUUAAGCACUAUGCUAAGUGCUGGGGAUACAAAAAGAGGUAAAGAUAGUCAAAUGUUUAAUGAGGGAGAAAUUAGGCCAACAAAUACAGACCUAGUAAAUUAAUGAUAAAUGAUAAACAUGAUAAAUGGCUGGGGGGGGGGAUUAAAAGAGGGAAGUCUCUAGAAUUAAGAAGGAUUAAGGGAUGCUUCCUGUAGAAGACAAAGUUUUAGUUGAACUUAGAGGAAGUCAAGGAAGGUAGCUGAAGAGAGAGAACAUUUAAGGAACAAGAAAUAGCCAGUGAAAAAUAUCCAGAGUUUAAGGGAUGGAAUGUCUUAUUGGUGGAAAAGUCAGAAGCAUAGUGUCUCUGAAUUAAAGUGUACGUGUAAGAAGAAGAAAGACAUAUGGAAAGGGGCUAGGCUAUGAAAGAUUUUAGAUGCCAAACUGAGAAUUUUGUAAUUAAUCUUGGAGGUGAUUGGGAAUGACUAGCAUUUAUUGACUAAGAAAAGUGACAAGUUCAGACCUGCACAUUAGUAAUUUUACUCUUUACAAACAGACGACUACCUGAGUGGCUGAAUAGAGUAAAGUAGAAAGAGACUUCUGGCAAAAAAAAAAAAAAAAAAAAACUCACCAACAGGCUGUUGCAAUAGACUAGAGAUGAAGUGAUAAGAUCCUGAAAAAGGAUGGUUCCAUUAUAAGAGAAAAGAAAGAAAAGCAUUUGAGAGAUAUUGCAUCAAAAGGCCAUGGUAAAAUCAAAACAACUUGGAUAUGGAAAAGAAAUUCAAAUUAAAAGAGCCUUUCACCUGGGGAACCACUUUACCUCUAUCAGAUAUGCUAAUAUGACAGAAAAGGAGAAUGAUAAAUGUUAGAAAUGUGAGAAAAUUGUUGCUGGAGUUGUGAACUGACACAAUCAUUCUGAGGGCAAUUUGGCACCAUGCCCAAAAGGCAACCAAACUCCGUUUCUGGAGUGGAAAUUUCUAUCAACUGAUUGGGGGCCACAUCCUUCGGUGUCACAUUUCCUGAGGACCCUCCCUUCCAGAAAAGUCACCAAUCAUCAACUAGCAACCUGAGAUGUGGACAGAAAGCAUCCUCCCAGGUGCAAUUGAACUGUCUAGUUGGCCUGGAAGUAUGGGAGCCAUAGGAACUGCAAUUUAAAGUUCCAUUUUGACUGGUAAAUUAAAUAAAUAAAAAUCAAAUAA